rnacentral:rRNA from 1 species
GAUGAACGCUAGCGGCAGGCUUAACACAUGCAAGUCGAGGGGUAGAGAGUGCUUGCACUCUUGAGACCGGCGCACGGGUGCGUAACGCGUAUGCAAUCUACCUUUUACAGAGGGAUAGCCCAGAGAAAUUUGGAUUAAUACCUCAUAGUAUUAUUAAUUGGCAUCAAUUGAUAAUUAAAGCUGAGGCGGUAAAAGAUGAGCAUGCGUUCUAUUAGCUAGAUGGAGUGGUAACGGCACCCCAUGGCAACGAUAGAUAGGGGCCCUGAGAGGGGGAUCCCCCACACUGGUACUGAGACACGGACCAGACUCCUACGGGAGGCAGCAGUGAGGAAUAUUGGACAAUGGGCGAGAGCCUGAUCCAGCCAUGCCGCGUGCAGGAAGACGGUCCUAUGGAUUGUAAACUGCUUUUAUACGGGAAGAAACACCCCCUCGUGAGGGGGCUUGACGGUA